rnacentral:rRNA from 1 species
ACGGGAGGCAGCAGUGGGGAAUAUUGGACAAUGGGGGAAACCCUGAUCCAGCGACGCCGCGUGAGUGAAGAAGUAUUUCGGUAUGUAAAGCUCUAUCAGCAGGGAAGAAAAUGACGGUACUUGACUAAGAAGCUCCGGCUAAAUACGUGCCAGCAGCCGCGGUAAUACGUAUGGUGCAAGCGUUAUCCGGAUUUACUGGGUGUAAAGGGAGCGUAGACGGCAUGGCAAGCCAGAUGUGAAAGGCAGGGGCUCAACUCCUGGACUGCAUUUGGAACUGUCAAGCUAGAGUAUCGGAGAGGUAAGUGGAAUUCCUAGUGUAGCGGUGAAAUGCGUAGAUAUUAGGAGGAACACCAGUGGCGAAGGCGGCUUGCUGGACGAUAACUGACGUUGAGGCUCGAAAGCGUGGGGAGCAAACAGGAUUAGAUACCCUGGUA